rnacentral:rRNA from 1 species
GUUGUAUAGUUAAGUGACUAAGCGUACACGGUGGAUGCCUAGGCAAUCAGAGGCGAAGAAGGACGUGCUAAUCUGCGAAAAGCUUGGAUGAGUUGAUAAGAAGCGUUUAAUCCAAGAUAUCCGAAUGGGGAAACCCAGUAGAUGAAGAAUCUACUAUCAAUAGAUGAAUACAUAGUCUGUUGAGGCAAACCGGGAGAACUGAAACAUCUAAGUACCCCGAGGAAAAGAAAUCAACCGAGAUUUUGUCAGUAGCGGCGAGCGAAAGCGAAAGAGCCAGCAAGUGAUAGCAGCAAAGACAGAAGAAUUGGCUGGGAAGCCAAGCGACACAGGGUGAUAGCCCCGUAUUUUAAGUUUAUGUUGUGGUACUAAACUUGCAACAAGUAGGGCGGGACACGAGAAAUCCUGUUUGAAGAUGGGGGGACCAUCCUCCAAGGCUAAAUACUCCUGAUUGACCGAUAGUGAACCAGUACU